CAGUCGAACGAAACUUCUUUAUCACCGAGUGCUUGCACUCACCGAUAAACAGUUGAGUGGCGAACGGGUGAGUAACACGUGGGCAACCUGCCCAAAAGAGGGGGAUAACACUUGGAAACAGGUGCUAAUACCGCAUAACCAUAGUUACCGCAUGGUAACUAUGUAAAAGGUGGCUAUGCUACCGCUUUUGGAUGGGCCCGCGGCGCAUUAGCUAGUUGGUGGGGUAAAGGCUUACCAAGGCAAUGAUGCGUAGCCGAACUGAGAGGUUGAUCGGCCACAUUGGGACUGAGACACGGCCCAAACUCCUACGGGAGGCAGCAGUAGGGAAUCUUCCACAAUGGGCGAAAGCCUGAUGGAGCAACGCCGCGUGGGUGAAGAAGGUCUUCGGAUCGUAAAACCCUGUUGUUAGAGAAGAAAGUGCGUGAGAGUAACUGUUCACGUUUCGACGGUAUCUAACCAGAAAGCCACGGCUAACUACGUGCCAGCAGCCGCGGUAAUACGUAGGUGGCAAGCGUUAUCCGGAUUUAUUGGGCGUAAAGGGAACGCAGGCGGUCUUUUAAGUCUGAUGUGAAAGCCUUCGGCUUAACCGGAGUAGUGCAUUGGAAACUGGGAGACUUGAGUGCAGAAGAGGAGAGUGGAACUCCAUGUGUAGCGGUGAAAUGCGUAGAUAUAUGGAAGAACACCAGUGGCGAAAGCGGCUCUCUGGUCUGUAACUGACGCUGAGGUUCGAAAGCGUGGGUAGCAAACAGGAUUAGAUACCCUGGUAGUC
rnacentral:rRNA from 1 species